rnacentral:lncRNA from 1 species
UAUAAUAAUCUUUGUGUUUGCAAAAUUAGAUGGCGAAAGUAAUGAAGGACCUUAAAGAGGAAAACACCAUCAUGAAGAGCAAUUGCGAUAAAUCAGAUAUCACCAUCAUCGAACUGACCAACGAGCGCGAACUCUUGAAGAAACAACUGGAGGAAACGAGAAACUUGAAGAAACAACUGGAGGAAACGAGAAAUCAGAAGGACAAACUGGAAUCGUUGUGUCGAUCACUCCAAGCAGAGAGGAAGACAAAUUCAGCUGCCUCGGACAGUAUUCCAUAGUAAUGAACUCAGCUGUUUGGAGUGGUAUAAACUAGAUGUGGAUUCUAAGUGUUGAUGAUGUUAAAAUAUGCCAAUAAUUAAGGUUGUCCUAACAAAUUUUGUUGGCAGAGUUGAGUGAAUAGUUGGUGUUUCAGAACCGAGUUGCUAGAACUAUCUUUAUUAUGUUGCAAGAACUAUCAUUAUUUCAUAUUAAGUUGCUAUUUGCUA